CACCCAUGCGACCUCGCAGGUACAGAAAG
rnacentral:rRNA from 1 species